UGGAAUUGCACUUGUGCAUGAACUGCCUUCAAAUCUUUUUGUUUUGUUUUGUUUUUUCAGAACCAGGGAUUGAAUUAAGGACCUUGCUCUUGUGAGUAUUGGGAAUCAAACUCAAGACCUUGCACUUGCGAGGCAGGCAUGGCACUGAGCUAAAUCCCCGGCUUAACAUACAUUUUAAUGGGGCUCUUACUUCGGGGAACUGCUAUACUUUCUGGAAAAGAGUAGAUUUCAUCAGUAACUCAAGAACGCCCAUUUCCUGCGGCCCCACCCACCUCCGUCCUUGCCUUCACCAAGGCUUGGCUCGGCAUGGUGCUGCCACCUAGAGGUCCGCGUCGGACAUUACCUCCAGCCCUCUCCGCAGAGGCCACCCUUCCAGCUGGAGUUUGAAGUUCUCUUUACAGCCCUGAGGAUUCAGAACUAAGGAUCAGAUCUUCCAGUGUGAGGACAGCCUGAGAAGAGCAAGAC
rnacentral:lncRNA from 1 species